UACGUAGGGGGCAAGCGUUGUCCGGAAUUAUUGGGCGUAAAGAGCGCGUAGGCGGUCCGAUAAGUCGGCUGUGAAAGUCAGGGGCUCAACCCUUGAAAGCCGGCCGAUACUGUCGGACUAGAGUCCGGAAGAGGCAAGUGGAAUUCCCGGUGUAGCGGUGAAAUGCGCAGAUAUCGGGAGGAACACCAAUGGCGAAGGCAGCUCUCUGGAACGGUACUGACGCUGAGACGCGAAAGCGUGGGGAGCGAACAGG
rnacentral:rRNA from 1 species